GGUGUAGAUACCUAGAGGGUGCAGAUAGAAGGAUUUGGGUCUGGGAGCCCAAUGCAAGGCAAUGAAAGAAUCAACAAUUCCAAAACAACGCAUGCACAAUUGUCAAACACAUUUUCCACGUUUUCCACCCAGGUUAAAAUUUUCAAGUCAUCUCUCUUCCCUCCAACUGAAUGCAACUCUCCUCCACCGUGCCGGAGGUCGCCUCCGGCGGAGGCGGAGACCUAAUAUUCAAACAAAUCACACUACCCCUUCAUCUUCUUCAUUUGAACACGAAUCCCAUACCGAAAAUCCUUGAUUCCUUCUCAAAAAUUUGAAUCGAAGCGAUAUGCGCACAAACCCUAAAUCUUAAAAGAGAAAUUAAAUUCUUAACUCUCAGAAUGAAAGCCCUGGAGGUUAGGGGUUUGAUUCCCCUAAUAUUCUUUUACACCAUGGUAACCAACAUGUUGUGAAUAAUUAAAGAAAAAAAAGAAGCACUCGCCGAAGCCGAUGCCGGAAAUCAGGAUGAACAAAUGUAAGGAUGGUUGGUCUUGAAGAAAUAAGGGACUUAGGUUUUAGGUAUGUUGAAAUGGAGAGUUGACUUUGCUCAAUUGGUUGACCAAAAGGUCAACAAUUGACCAAAAGCCAACGUAUGCAAAAAGUGUAUUUCUUUGUAAUUUUCAAUGGAACAUGUAUGGAUAAUGUAAUCUAAUGGCCUUUAUGAAUGGAAUAAAUUUUCUUUGGCAAAAA